rnacentral:rRNA from 1 species
AUUGAACGCUGGCGGCAGGCUUAACACAUGCAAGUCGAGCGGGGGAAGGUAGCUUGCUACCGGACCUAGCGGCGGACGGGUGAGUAAUGCUUAGGAAUCUGCCUAUUAGUGGGGGACAACAUCUCGAAAGGGAUGCUAAUACCGCAUACGUCCUACGGGAGAAAGCAGGGGAUCUCCGGACCUUGCGCUAAUAGAUGAGCCUAAGUCAGAUUAGCUAGUUGGUGGGGUAAAGGCCUACCAAGGUGACGAUCUGUAGCGGGUCUGAGAGGAGGGUCCGCCACACUGGGACUGAGACACGGCCCAGACUCCUACGGGAGGCAGCAGUGGGGAAUAUUGGACAAUGGGGGGAACCCUGAUCCAGCCAUGCCGCGUGCGUGAAGAAGGCCUUAUGGUUGUAAAGCACUUUAAGCGAGGAGGAGGCUACUUUAGUUAAUACCUAGAGAUAGUGGACGUUACUCGCAGAAUAAGCACCGGCUAACUCUGUGCCAGCCGCCGCAGUAA